rnacentral:pre_miRNA from 1 species
GUUUAGGGGUGGACCUGAUGUCCCUGAGUGUAUGUGGUGAACCUGAAUUUACCUUGGGUUUCCUCAUAUUCAUUCAGGAGUGUCAGUUGCCCCUUCAC